CCCUUGCAACUCGGCUAUUAUAAGGUGGGUUAGAUCCCAUAUCCUUCCGCUUGAUGGAAAUGAUAUGUAAUCUAGCUUACAGGUCUCUCAACAUCUCCAAGACGGUGCUA
rnacentral:pre_miRNA from 1 species